AAUCAACGCUGGCGGCGUGCCUCAGACAUGCAAGUCGAACGCGAAAGUUCCCUUCGGGGGAUGAGUAGAGUGGCGCACGGGUGAGUAACACGUAGGUAAUCUACCUUCGGAUGGGGAAUAACAACCGGAAACGGUUGCGUAAUACCGCAUAAAUGCAGCGGCACCUAAUGGUGACAGUUGGUUAAAGCGGGGGAUCGAAAGACCUCGCGUCUGAAGAGGAGCCUGCGGCGGAUUAGUCAGGUUGGUAGGGUAACGGCCUACCAAGGCUACGAUCCGUAGCCGGCCUGAGAGGGCGGUCGGCCACACUGACACUGACAUACGGGUCAGACUCCUACGGGAGGCAGCAGUCGGGGAA
rnacentral:rRNA from 1 species